ensembl:lncRNA
AGGUGAUUGGCUGGGGAGUUGAGGGGGGCUGUAGUGUUAUGAGGGAAGGCCAAGAAAGCUGCAGAGCCUCAAACUAGAGCUGCAGAAUCACCAUCCCUGGAACCACCCCCCUCCCCGUAGAUUUCUCAUUUAAUGAGCUAACCACGUGUCUGUGCUAAGACACCGUGAGUCAGAUUUUUCUAAUACUUGCAGCCAAAGACAUUCCCAGCUGAGACGCCUUCUAGGUAUGGCUGAGGGGAGGACCAGAUGAGGUGAUAAUGCAUCCAGGGCACCUCUGCAGGACUGGCCCAUGUGAGAAUUCAAAAAUGUUGCUUUGUCUUAUUAUUUCUAUUUUUCUUACUGUGUAGGUUUUCUGUGUUUAUCAGGCUAAUAGGACAUCCAAUCCUCUGGCUAUGGCAUCUUGGAGGAACAGGCAGGUCUUGAAAAAUAGCAGAAAUUCCAAAUUCCCCUGCCCCGGGAGAACUGAAAGGACCUUGCUGAGGACAGAGCUGAUACGGCCUCGGAAUGAAGAUGAGGGAAGAUCAUUCCAAGGAAGAUCACCCCUCUAGCCCAUGGCGAAAGGGCUGGAAUACGCAAGGACUUGAAAAGCAAGUUUUGCUUUUCAUCUAAACCUAAGCAAGUUGCUUCAUCUGUGAACCUCAACUACUUUACUUUGUGCAAUGGGCAUGUUGCUGGUAGUGGUGAUAGCAGGGAGCUACCCGCAGAGCUUCCAGCUCUGGCCUGUAAGCCUUCCUCUGGGGAAGGGAAGCUCAUGUGUCAGCUGGACCCCCGGGCAAAUUUAUUCUCCCAGGGUCGAACAUUCAGACAUUUCCCUGUAGGAGCCUCAGUGUGUUCAGAUGUUCCCUGUCCAGUAGAAACAAGACAUCUAGGCAACUCUCCCAUCUCACCAAGCCUCUGUUCCCUUCCCUGGCCACUGUGGGGUUGUGAGAGUAAUGUCAAGACCCAACCCAAUUAGAACACAGGGAAUUUUGCCUGGGAAAGGGAGGCCUUCUACCCUGCACCACUGCUUUCUGUCUUCCAAGGAUCAACUCUGAUUCACGUCUGCAUCCUAAAAGCUACAAAUAAACUGUGUCGGGAAAGGAAAAUAUGCGUAUUGCCUUCCUCAAGGCUAAAAACCAGUCCCAACAGAGAGGGGCAGUUUUAAAUUUUUUUAUGUAACAAUAGCUCUAACUUUAGUUGGUAACUUAUGCCAUUUGAAACACUUUCUCAUAAUAAUUUAUUUAUUCCUCCCAAAGAACCUAUCAAAUGCAUAGUAUUAUUAUUCUGAAUUCACAGAUGGUGAAAUCGAGGUCCAGAAAGAGUCAGUUCACCCAAGGUCCCAUAGUACUUCCUUUGAUAAGCUAGAGCACGGGAAUUUGAUGUCUUCUUAGGACAAACUAACUUACUCCCUGGUGCUGCAAACACACCCUGGGCCUUCCCACCUCCACACCUUUGCUCAUGCUGUUUACCUGCCUGGAAGGCCUCUCUUUCUCCACCUCUUGGUUUUUCCAAAUCUGUUAUGAGCAGGUCCUCCAGGAGAGCCAAGAUGAGAAGAGUUAUACUAAAGGCUUAUUGAGGGAGUGCCAGGGAGUAAAAUGAAGAGGGAGCCAGAGGGGGCUGGGAGAAAAGGACAGAAAGAAGGAGGACAAAUGGAAGGAAGGGACAGAGGAAAGAAGGGACCGUGGGCUGCAGUGCACUCUUAGAAAGGUCAAGGCUGGCCGGGCACAGUGGCUCAUGUCUGUAAUCCCAGCACUUUGGGAGGCUGAGGUGGGUGGAUCACUUCAGGUCAGAAGUUCAAGACCAGCCUGGCCAACAUGGUGAAAACCCUGUCUCUAUUAAAAAUACAAAAAAUUAGCCAGGCAUGGUGGCCGACACCUAUAAUCCCAGCUACUCGGGAGGCUGAGGCAGGAGAAUUGCUUGAACCCAGGAGGCAGAGGUUGCAGGGUGCCGAGACCGCACCACUGCACUCCAGAGUGGGUGAAAGAGCGACUCUGUCUCAAAAAAAAAAAAAAAAAAAAAAAAAA